AGCAGUGUGUGGUAAGAGGAACGUCUGAGUCCCAGUCCCAGUCCUGAGAUCUCCGGACCCUUGGCACCUGAACAGAAGCCACCUUUUGGGUUCUCUCCCUGGGGUGGUGCAGAGCCUGGAAUCCUGCCCCUCAGUGCCUGGGGCUUCCUCUGGGAAGAAGGAGGAGCACGUGAAAUCAAAUUUCUUCCCAGAGAAGCCUGAACUAACCCUGGCAGGACAGCUGCUGCUCAGAGCCCACUGAGAAUUCAGCCAAUUAAAUGGGGAAAUAUGGGAGAAGACCUCCAUGGUGGGGCAGGGCGAGUCCACCAGAAGAAUAAACAGACAUGAAAGACAAGGGGCUCCUGGCUCCUGCUGCCCAAGCUGCUCAUGCCAAGGGAGAGUCACGAGAAAACUCCACUCAGCAAAGGUCCUGUCUCGCUCCUCAUAGUUAAUAUGCUGGGAAAACAGCAACCCCGGCAGCAGCCGUGUGUUCAGCCGGGAUGCAUCUGCCAAGGGCUGAGCUCAUAGCUUCGCCACCUGGGGCUUCAGGGCCCGU
rnacentral:lncRNA from 1 species